rnacentral:rRNA from 1 species
ACUCCUACGGGAGGCAGCAGUGGGGAAUAUUGCACAAUGGGCGCAAGCCUGAUGCAGCCAUGCCGCGUGUGUGAAGAAGGCCUUCGGGUUGUAAAUGCACUUCAGUCGUGAGGAGGUAGUGUAGUUAAUAGCUGCAUUAUUUGACGUUAGCGACAGAAGAAGCACCGGCUAACUCCGUGCCAGCAGCCGCGGUAAUACGGAGGGUGCGAGCGUUAAUCGGAAUUACUGGGCGUAAAGCGCAUGCAGGUGGUUUGUUAAGUCAGAUGUGAAAGCCCGGGGCU